GGGGGGAACCCUGAUCCAGCCAUGCCGCGUGUGUGAAGAAGGCCUUUUGGUUGUAAAGCACUUUAAGCAGUGAAGAAGAAGUCAUGGUUAAUACCCAUGAUGGAUGACAUUAGCUGCAGAAUAAGCACCGGCUAACUCUGUGCCAGCAGCCGCGGUAAUACAGAGGGUGCGAGCGUUAAUCGGAAUUACUGGGCGUAAAGCGAGCGUAGGUGGCUUAAUAAGUCAGAUGUGAAAUCCCCGGGCUUAACCUGGGAACUGCAUCUGAAACUGUUCGGCUAGAGUAGGUGAGAGGGAAGUAGAAUUCCAGGUGUAGCGGUGAAAUGCGUAGAGAUCUGGAGGAAUACCGAUGGCGAAGGCAGCUUCCUGGCAUCAUACUGACACUGAGGUUCGAAAGCGUGGGUAGCAAACAGGAUUAGAUACCCUGGUAGUCCACGCCGUAAACGAUGUCUACUAGUCGUUGGGUCCCUUGAGGACUUAGUGACGCAGCUAACGCAAUAAGUAGACCG
rnacentral:rRNA from 1 species